rnacentral:lncRNA from 1 species
CUCGAUCACUAAACAUGACCGAGCGAACCAUCUCUGCUUAUCAAACCUAUUAUAACUCCAAAAUUUACAUGCAAAAAAGCAAUAUUCUAACCAAAGCUUUAUUCAUAGUAACUGCUGAAUUACUGCUAAGUUAUUAUAAAAUAAGUUCUGAAUCUCAACCCAAUGACUUUGUCUAUAAAGCUUCUACUGAUAAACUGACGCACUGCUCAGGUAAAUAAAAAUGUCUCUAAAAGUACUCCACGAACAAAAGCGGAGCUCACCAAUAUCAAUAGAAGGGAAGGAAGUCCUAACUCGUAGCCUGCUCGCCUGCAAAUCCGGUUCCUACGUUGUACCG